AGCUUCCAUCAUCAUUUUUGUUUUUCUUUUAGUUAUUUUAUUCUCUCUUUCUUCAUCACUUUCUUUCUUUACAUUAUUAUAAUCUUCUUCUUUCUUCCUUAUAUUCCCUCUUCCUCUACUCCACGAACACAGAAGAACAAAGCUAACAGAGACCGAGAGAAGGAAAUUGAUUAAGAGAGAGGCAGAAAUGGUAUGGCUUGAGAGAAGAGAUGAGUCCGAGAGGUGGAAAAACUGGGAGAAUCGGUUCUGCCAUUUACCCACAACCCAGCAACCCGGAUUUCCAAGCAUCUCAUUCCUUCCGAACAACCGAAGCGUGACCAAACCCAGAACCGGAUUCUAGCCAAUUCCCCAAAUGCGAGACGCCAGUGGACACCAAGAAGACCUGAUUUGGGCCAUGUUUCCAGUAGGCCAGAAGAACCUACAGAUUUAUCCAACCCAAUCUAAUCUGACCUGCAAGCCCAACCCAACAGCAAUCCACAAACUGACUUCAGCCAGACCCACUGAGCCCAAGACCGAAACCCAUAAGCCCGAGACCUUGGCUCAAGACUCCAAGCCCAUCAACCCAAGCCCAUACCCAUGACCCGACCCGGAAUCCCGACCCGCCGGCGACCCGCCGCCGGCAGUGUCUCCGGCGACUUUUCCGGCCAUUUUCCGGCGACUUUUCCGGCCACUUUUCCGGCGACUCUCCGGCGACUUUUCCGGCGACUUCCAAACUCACCGUUUCGCUGGAUUUUCGAGUGGAAAUCCUUAAUAUGAUGAAUUGAGACAGCACAAAAAGGACUGUAAGUAUUUUUAUACUUACUGAGGGUAGCACUGGAUUUCAGUAAUGUUGUGUUUAUGUUUUAUUUUAAUUGGAUGCGUGUGACUGAUUAUUGCAUACUGUUAAUAAUCAACCUAUUAAUAUUGGGCGCGA